GACGAACGCUGGCGGCGUGCCUAAUACAUGCAAGUAGGACGCAGUUGCGAACGGGUGAGUAACGCGUAGGUAACUACCUAUUAGAGGGGGAUAACUAUUGGAACCGAUAGCUAAUACCGCAUACUAGUAGCUGGACCUGCGUUGUAUUAGCUAGUAGGUAGGGUAAUGGCCUACCUAGGCAACGAUACAUAGCCGACGUGAGAGGGUGAGCGGCCACACUGGGACUGAGGAACGGCCCAGACGCCUACGGGAGGCAGCAGUAGGGAAUCUACGGCAAUGGGGGGAACGCUGACCAGGCAACGCCGCGUGAGUGAAGAAGGUUUUCGGAGCGUAAAGCUCUGUUGGUAAGGAAGCGGUACUUAACCAGAAAGGGACGGCUAACUACGUGCCAGCAGCCGCGGUAAUUC
rnacentral:rRNA from 1 species